rnacentral:rRNA from 1 species
UACGAAGGUGGCAAGCGUUGUUCGGAUUUACUGGGCGUACAGGGAGCGUAGGCGGUUGGAUAAGCCCUCCGUGAAAUCUCCAGGCUUAACCUGGAAAGUGCAGAGGGGACUGUUCAGCUAGAGGAUGGGAGAGGAGCGCGGAAUUCCCGGUGUAGCGGUGAAAUGCGUAGAGAUCGGGAGGAAGGCCGGUGGCGAAGGCGGCGACUCUGGAACAUUUCUGACGCUGAGGCUCGAAAGCGUGGGGAGCAAA